rnacentral:rRNA from 1 species
GACAUAGGUGGCGAACGUUAUCCGGAUUUAUUGGGCGUAAAGGGCUCGUAGGCGGUCUGUUGCGUCUGGAGUGAAAACUCAGGGCUUAACCCUGAGCCUGCUUCCGAUACGGGCAGACUAGAGGUAUGCAGGGGAGAACGGAAUUCCUGGUGUAGCGGUGAAAUGCGCAGAUAUCAGGAGGAACACCGGUGGCGAAGGCGGUUCUCUGGGCAUUACCUGACGCUGAGGAGCGAAAGUGUGGGGAGCGAACAGG